CUUCUGAGCUAACAUAGUCAAGCGUGGUGUCUGGAAUGCGAGAUAGAUCAUCACCUUGUGAUUCACUAUAGCGUGGUUUCUAAAAUCUGUUUCAUUGCAUUUAUUUUGAAAAUCGUUUACAAACUACAAUGUUAAAUAUUGAUAUGUAUGCUGCUGUUCAGACUGCAAUUUCGCAAGAGAAUGAUAAAUCUCUGAAUGAAUUGAAAUUGCGUUUGAAUGAGGAAUAUUUUGGGGCGACUAAAAUGUCGAGAGAGGAAUUCUUAUUGCUUUAGAAAGACGAAACAUCAUUGAGCAGAGAGUUCUCAGCAGAAAUUUACAUCCCCAAAAUCGUGCGUAAGCAACACGAGGACAAAGGAAAUGUAUGCAUGGCUUUAAGAUCAGAAGUAUCUGGCAACUGUCUCUACAGUUCAGUGUCAUUGCUUUUGGCAGUUUUUUUUCCUAGCAAAACUAAAAGGACAAUUUCUGGUCCAACAUGCCCAGUGCCU